CAGCAGCCGCGGUAAUACGUAGGGUGCGAGCGCUAAUCGGAAUUACUGGGCGUAAAGCGUGCGCAGGCGGUUGUGCAAGACAGAUGUGAAAUCCCCGGGCUCAACCUGGGAAUUGCAUUUGUGACUGCACGGCUAGAGUGUGUCAGAGGGGGGUAGAAUUCCACGUGUAGCAGUGAAAUGCGUAGAGAUGUGGAGGAAUACCGAUGGCGAAGGCAGCCCCCUGGGAUAACACUGACGCUCAUGCACGAAAGCGUGGGGAGCAAACAGGAUUAGAUACCCCCGUAGUCCCUGUCUCUUAUAC
rnacentral:rRNA from 1 species